rnacentral:rRNA from 1 species
AGCAGCCGCGGUAAUUCCAGCUCCAAUAGCGUAUAUUAAAGUUGUUGCAGUUAAAAAGCUCGUAGUUGAAUUUCGGGAUCAAUAUGUCUGUCGUGCCUUCGGUACGUACGGGUAUAAUUGGUUUCUACCUUCUGAUGAACCUUGAUGCCAUUAAUUUGGUGUCUUGGGGACUCAGGACUGUUACCUUGAAAAAAUUAGAGUGUUUAAAGCAGGCAUACGCUUGAAUACAUUAGCAUGGAAUAAUGAAAUAGGACGUUCGAUUCUAUUUUGUUGGUUUCUAGGAUCGACGUAAUGAUUAAUAGGGAUAGUUGGGGGCAUUAGUAUUCAAUUGUCAGAGGUGAAAUUCUUGGAUUUAUUGAAGACUAACUACUGCGAAAGCAUUUGCCAAGGAUGUUUUCAUUAAUCAAGAACGAAAGUUAGGGGAUCGAAGACGAUCAGAUACCGUCGUAGUCUUAACCAUAAACUAUGCCGACUAGGGAUCGGAUGAUGUUAAUUUUUUAAUGACUCAUUCGGCGCCUUACG